UACGAAGGGGGCUAGCGUUGUUCGGAAUUACUGGGCGUAAAGCGCACGUAGGCGGAUAUUUAAGUCAGGGGUGAAAUCCCGGGGCUCAACCCCGGAACUGCCUUUGAUACUGGGUAUCUAGAGUCCGGAAGAGGUGAGUGGAAUUCCGGGUGUAGAGGUGAAAUUCGUAGAUAUUCGGAGGAACACCAGUGGCGAAGGCGGCUCACUGGUCCGGUACUGACGCUGAGGUGCGAAAGCGUGGGGAGCAAACAGG
rnacentral:rRNA from 1 species